GGUUAAACAGAAAGAGCGUAGGGUGGAUGCCUUGGCACUAAGAGCCGAAGAAGGACGUGACAAGCUGCGAAAAGCUGCGGGUAGGAGCAAAUAUCCAAUGAUCCGCAGAUAUCCGAAUGGGGAAA
rnacentral:rRNA from 1 species